rnacentral:rRNA from 1 species
CAAUAGCGUAUAUUAAAGCUGUUGCGGUUAAAAAGCUCGUAGUUGGAUUUCUGUCAAGGACAACUGGUCCGCCCUCCGGGUGAGCACAUAGUUUGGUCUUGGCAUCUUGCUGGAAACUGUUGCUGCGCUUGGUUGUGUGGUGCAGCUUUCAGCACUUUCACUUUGAGGAAAUUGGAGUGUUUCAAGCAGGCACAUGCCUUUGGACACAGUAGCAUGGAAUAAUUAGAUUGGGCUUUUGCUCCAAUUUGUCGGUUUCUGGAGCUGAGGUGAGAAUUAAUAGGGAUAGUUGGGGGUAUUCGUAUUCAAUUGUCAGAGGUGAAAUUCUUGGAUUUAUGGAAGACGAACUACUGCGAAAGCAUUUACCAAGGAUGUUUUCAUUAA